rnacentral:rRNA from 1 species
UACGAAGGGGGGCUAGCGUUGCUCGGAAUCACUGGGCGUAAAGGGUGCGUAGGCGGGGUCUUUUAAGUCAGGGGGUGAAAUCCUGGAGCUCAACUCCAGACUGCCUUUGAUACUGUUGAUCUAGAGUACGGAAGAGGCGAAGUGGAAUUCCUGGUGUAGCGGUGGAAUGCGUAGAGAUCCGGAAGAACACCAGUGGCGAAGGCGGCCCGGCUGGGCA